GGGCAAGAGGAAACAGCCCUGGGAAAAGCUGUCCCAGGAGAGGCUGAGGUUGGAGAUGAGGAACAAUUUCUUCCCAGAAAGGGUUGUCCAGCCUUGGCACAGGCUGCCCAGGGCCAUGGUGGAGUCCCCAUCCCUGGAGGGAUCCCAAAGCUGUGUCUGAGGGGCACACAGAGAUCAAGUUCUCCCGCUGCAUCCAGGUGGAAGAGCCGAGUACCACCCAGUGCACCUGCAGCUCCUCCCUCCGCCGCCAUCCCCGAGGGCCGGCACAGCGGUGCCACUGACACGGGGCACCCCGAGAGGUACUGGGGCUGAGCCGCGCUGCGGGGACCGACCUGGAUGAGGUCCAGGAUGCCCAGCUCGCUCUCGGAGGAGUCCACGCAGAAGACGAAGUACAGCGUGGCGUAGUGGCGGUAGAUGAGCUUGUAGUCCGAGCCGCCAAACAGGCUGCGGGACACAGCGAGAGGUGACGAGGGGCUGCGGGGCCCCGGCCGCGGGGACGCUCCCGGCCGCGCACCGCGUUACCUGCCGCACUCCAGGAAGUUGCAGAUGUGGUCGUCCCGCUUCAGCACCAGGUGGAAAGUCUCUCGGAUGAUCUGCUGCUGCACCUCCUCCGCCUGCAAGGACGCGACAAGCGUCCGUGGGGCUGCAGCACCCGCAGCCCCCGCCAAGGUCCCAGCACACACCAGCCCUGGGUGACCCGGCCGUGGGGGAGCCCGAGGGGCCGGGCCGGGGGUCCGCAGCCCCAUCCCCGCACGGCCGCCGCUGCCCUUCCCCCCGGCCUCGUACCAGGUGCUGGUAGAAGCGGACGAGCCGCGGCUUGCCAUGGUUGUUGAACACCAGGAUGGCGUUGAUCAUCACGGCGGCGGGGCCGGGCAGGGCCGGCGGCACAACCGGCCGCAGCCCCCCUGCAAGAAGCCCCUCGCCGGCCCCGGAAAGGCGGCGGCGGCGCUCGGGCCUGGUCCCGGGGAGCCGCGGGUGGGGAGCGAGGGAACGGGGAACGCUCGGAGCCGCUGCUGGGGGCUGCCCGGGCCCGGGGCUCCGCGGGGUUCCCGGGACGCGGGACGGUGCGGACGGGGCUCGCUGCGCCGGGGCUCCCGGGACGCGGGACGGUGCGGACGGGGCUCGCUGCGCCGGGGCUCCCGGGACGGUGCGGACGGGGCUCGCUGCGCCGGGCCGGGAAGGCGCCGCCAGGGGGCGACACCAGCGCCGGGUCACGGGAACCGCGCCGUCAGGACACGACCACUCUGACACGUGACCGGCUGCAAACCGGAAACGGAACUGCAACAGCGUGUCCUGAUUGCCUAAAGCGGAUCCGGCCUUCUGAUUGGUUGCUGGAGGCCCAGGCUUGUAACGGCACACUAUGAUUGGAUGACGGCGGCUUCGGGCUCUGCCCGUUCCGAUUGGCUGAGGAGCGUGACACUCAUAACGGAGCAUCGUGAUUGGAUACAGGCUCAAAGCUGCGCGCUCUGAUUGGCUGGUGGAGACCCCACACAGACACCGCUCAUCCUGAUUGGCUGCGAGAUGCCUCGGGCCAUGUGUGCGCAUCCUGCAUCGGGGCGGCCGCUUCACAAGCACAAGGUAACGCCCUGAUAGGCUGCAGAGGCUCAGCAUCGUCACUGCGCGUUCUGAGUGGCCGACAGGGCGUCGGGAUCGUAACUGCACGUGCUGAUUGUGUGCAGGGGCUGCAGGAUUAGAAGUGAGCACCCCGAUUGGCUGAACCGUCUUCAGGAUGGGAACCACACAUCUUCAUUUGCCGAAAGGGCUUCCGAAAUCUGUGCCCAUCCUGAUUGGCUGAGAGGGAUUCAGAGUUGUAACUGUGCUCUUUGGGUGAGAAGGCUUCGGGAUCAUAGGUACACAUCCUGAUUUCAGCGUUGUCACAGCACAUGCUGGGUGUCUGAGGGGGAUUCGGAGUGUUGCUGCACAUCCCGACUGGCUGAGGGUGAAUUCCUAAUUGUAACUGGUUCUUCUUGAGUGACUGGGGGGGCGUUGGACUCGUAACCGCACACUUUCAUUGGCUGACAGGGCUUCAGCAUCGUAACUCCACAUCCCCAAUGCUUGAGUCAGCUUUGGACUCGUAGUCUGCACACCUGAUUGGCUGACAGGGAACUGAUGAUAACUACACACCCUGGUUGGCUGAUGGGGAUUCAGGACUGCAACUGGGCAUCCCGAUUGUCUGAGGGCAAAUUCCCAAUUGUAACUGUGAUUCGUGAUUGCCUGGGGGCAGUUGGACUUGUAACCGCACACUUUGAUUGGCUGACAGGGCCUCAGCAUCAUAACUGAGUAUCCUGAUUGGCUGAUGGGGGCUGCAGAAUCAUAACUGGACAUGCUGAUUGCUUUAACAUUCUUCAGUAUCAUAACUGCACAUGCUGAUUGGCUGGUAGGUCUUCAGGACUCUAAUUGCGCCUCCUGAUUGGCUGAAGGUGAAAUCCUACUUGUAACUGGCACUCCUUGGGUGACUGAGGGGAAGUCAGAAUUGUAACCUCACACUUUGAUUGGCUGACAGAGCUUCAGCAUCAUAAUUGAGCAUCCUGAUUGGCUGGCAGGGCUUCAUUAUCAUCACUGCACAGCCUGAUUGCCAUAAAGGUCUUUAACAUCAUAA